AAUAAGUGUAGUUUUACAUUAUUCACGUGUUUAACGUUUGAUUGUUCGUCUUAUUUAAAAUUUUUUUAUGAUUAGUAUUUUCGUUGCUAUUAGAUGAUAAAACAUGAAUAGUAUUUUAUGUGUGACUAAAUAUUUUUAAAUUUUUCAUAAAUUUUUCAAAUAAGACGGACGGUCAAAUGUUAGGCACGGAUAUCCACGGCUGCACUUAUU
rfam:Oryza glaberrima chromosome 8 Oglab08_0177_2, whole genome shotgun sequence.